rfam:Ricinus communis cultivar Hale ctg_1100012302209, whole genome shotgun sequence.
GGGUGCGAUCAUGCCAGCACUAAUGCACCGGAUCCCAUCAGAACUCCGAAGUUAAACGUGCUUGGGCGAGAGUAGUACUAAGAUGGGUGACCUCUUGGGAAGUCCUCGUGUUGCACCCC